rnacentral:rRNA from 1 species
AGAGUUUGAUCCUGGCUCAGAUUGAACGCUGGCGGCAGGCUUAACACAUGCAAGUCGAGCGGAGAGAGGUAGCUUGCUACUGAUCUUAGCGGCGGACGGGUGAGUAAUGCUUAGGAAUCUGCCUAUUAGUGGGGGACAACAUCUCGAAAGGGAUGCUAAUACCGCAUACGUCCUACGGGAGAAAGCAGGGGAUCUUCGGACCUUGCGCUAAUAGAUGAGCCUAAGUCGGAUUAGCUAGUUGGUGGGGUAAAGGCCUACCAAGGCGACGAUCUGUAGCGGGUCUGAGAGGAUGAUCCGCCACACUGGGACUGAGACACGGCCCAGACUCCUACGGGAGGCAGCAGUGGGGAAUAUUGGACAAUGGGGGGAACCCUGAUCCAGCCAUGCCGCGUGUGUGAAGAAGGCCUUAUGGUUGUAAAGCACUUUAAGCGAGGAGGAGGCUACUUUAGUUAAUACCUAGAGAUAGUGGACGUUACUCGCAGAAUAAGCACCGGCUAACUCUGUGCCAGCAGCCGCGGUAAUACAGAGGGUGCAAGCGUUAAUCGGAUUUACUGGGCGUAAAGCGCGCGUAGGCGGCUAAUUAAGUCAAAUGUGAAAUCCCCGAGCUUAACUUGGGAAUUGCAUUCGAUACUGGUUAGCUAGAGUGUGGGAGAGGAUGGUAGAAUUCCAGGUGUAGCGGUGAAAUGCGUAGAGAUCUGGAGGAAUACCGAUGGCGAAGGCAGCCAUCUGGCCUAACACUGACGCUGAGGUGCGAAAGCAUGGGGAGCAAACAGGAUUAGAUACCCUGGUAGUCCAUGCCAUAAACGAUGUCUACUAGCCGUUGGGGCCUUUGAGGCUUUAGUGGCGCAGCUAACGCGAUAAGUAGACCGCCUGGGGAGUACGGUCGCAAGACUAAAACUCAAAUGAAUUGACGGGGGCCCGCACAAGCGGUGGAGCAUGUGGUUUAAUUCGAUGCAACGCGAAGAACCUUACCUGGCCUUGACAUAGUAAGAACUUUCCAGAGAUGGAUUGGUGCCUUCGGGAACUUACAUACAGGUGCUGCAUGGCUGUCGUCAGCUCGUGUCGUGAGAUGUUGGGUUAAGUCCCGCAACGAGCGCAACCCUUUUCCUUAUUUGCCAGCGAGUAAUGUCGGGAACUUUAAGGAUACUGCCAGUGACAAACUGGAGGAAGGCGGGGACGACGUCAAGUCAUCAUGGCCCUUACGGCCAGGGCUACACACGUGCUACAAUGGUCGGUACAAAGGGUUGCUACACAGCGAUGUGAUGCUAAUCUCAAAAAGCCGAUCGUAGUCCGGAUUGGAGUCUGCAACUCGACUCCAUGAAGUCGGAAUCGCUAGUAAUCGCGGAUCAGAAUGCCGCGGUGAAUACGUUCCCGGGCCUUGUACACACCGCCCGUCACACCAUGGGAGUUUGUUGCACCAGAAGUAGCUAGCCUAACUGCAAAGAGGGCGGUUACCACGGUGUGGCCGAUGACUGGGGUGAAGUCGUAACAAGGUAACC